UAUGUCCUUUGGGUUCUGGCAGUUAGUGUAGUUUGUCCUUUCAUGGACGCCGCACUUUGGCUUCUGAGGCUAGAUUUCUAUCAGUGUUUAUUUAAGCUUCGCUGAUUGCUUGCUCCUCACUAUAGCCAAAUGAUUUUUGUUUUUUAUUGUAAAACCCUGUUAGUAUAACAUUUAUUGUAUUAUUAUUUAUGCAGUUAGUGAGAUGUUUGUGAAUGCCUGACGGUUUUGGGUGUUUAAGACUGUUUUAUACAAGCUGUAAGCUUGUUAGUCAUUCGUUCCAUUGAAUGCACUUACCAAGUUAUGUGCGUGACUUAAUUACCUCGGUUUGGAAGUGUGCCGAAUAAACUUAACGGUCUCAACCACGACUUUGACCACGCGUGCCUGAUUCUCGCCUCCAUCCAAACUCCGACAGCAACCCUGAGAACACAACGCAGCGAGGUGCCAUCUGACACGGACAGGGUUACAUAUAUAUAUAUAUAUAUAUAUAUAUAUUAUUCUACAUAAAAGUGCUUGGGUUUAUGACUUUGAAUGUAUCCGUAGCACACAUUGUCUGGUUUAUUUGCCUUUAUUUUAGAUUUUAUGACAAUGUAAAGCUACAUGCAUGAUAAUGUUAAUAUUCUGAAUGCAGGACUGUGAUGCAGUUUUCGAGCUCGCCACUAGGGUAAUGUUAAGAGUAAUGAGUAAUGUUAGGAACAGAUGCAAAAAAAAAAAAAAUAGCAGUGAAUCAUGAGAAGCUGCGUUUGGAUGCUGUUUAUUUAGUAUCUUUGAAAGUGUUCGUCCAUAAGACUGGUGAGUUGUGUAUACUGUUCUAUAAGAAUCAUUUGUUAAUUCGGUUUGUUGUUCUGGACAUUUUCUGUUCUUUUCUGCUCUUUUUAGGAGAUAUGGUUUACCAAGCUAAGUUUUUACCUUGAGUUGGUGAUUUUUAUUAUAUUUAGUUGCCUUUUUCUUACUUGAUAUCCACAUCAUAAGUGGCUCAUAUUCUAUGCGAUCUACUGAUCUGAGAUGUUGUGAUUAUACUGAAUUAUAAUUUGUGUUUUCUUUGUGUAUUCUGUUUUGUAGGACCACAAACACCCAUACCUGGUACCUGAAUCUGCUUAUUAAAGAAACCGGUAAAACAUUACAAGGCCUGAUCAUUGACUGGGGGUCAUACAGGCUUUUUACCAGUGUACGCUCUGCAAUUACCACAAUAGUAAACCGAAAACUAGCCUUAGUUAAUACCUUCAGUUAUGUUUAGAACCUUGUUUAUCAAACACUUUAUGAGCAUCCAUUUAUGCUUAUUUUGUGGUGAUCCCAGUCCUGGAAAGUGAAAUAAAUAUCUGUACCUAUCAGA